rnacentral:rRNA from 1 species
UACGUAGGGGGCGAGCGUUGUCCGGAGUUACUGGGCGUAAAGAGCUCGUAGGCGGCUUGUCGCGUCGGAUGUGAAAACCCACGGCUCAACUGGGGGCUUGCAUUCGAUACGGGAAGGCUAGAGUUCGGUAGGGGAGACUGGAAUUCCUGGUGUAGCGGUGAAAUGCGCAGAGAUCAGGAGGAACACCGGUGGCGAAGGCGGGUCUCUGGGCCGAUACUGACGCUGAGGAGCGAAAGCGUGGGGAGCGAACAGG